rnacentral:rRNA from 1 species
UACGAAGGGUGCAAGCGUUACUCGGAAUUACUGGGCGUAAAGCGUGCGUAGGUGGUUUGUUAAGCCUGUUGUGAAAGCCCCGGGCUCAACCUGGGAAUGGCAAUGGAUACUGGCAAGCUAGAGUGCGGUAGAGGGUAGUGGAAUUCCCGGUGUAGCGGUGAAAUGCGUAGAGAUCGGGAGGAACACCAGUGGCGAAGGCGGCUACCUGGACCAGCACUGACACUGAGGCACGAAAGCGUGGGGAGCAAACAGG